rnacentral:rRNA from 1 species
AUUGAACGCUGGCGGCAGGCCUAACACAUGCAAGUCGAGCGAGCGGCGGACGGGUGAGUAAUGUCUGGGAAACUGCCUGAUGGAGGGGGAUAACUACUGGAAACGGUAGCUAAUACCGCAUACCAUCGGAUGUACCCAUAUGGGAUUAGCUGGUAGGUGGGGUAACGGCUCACCUAGGCGACGAUCCCUAGCUGGUCUGAGAGGAUGACCAGCCACACGGGGACGGAGACACGGUCCAGACUCCUACGGGAGGCAGCAGUGGGGAAUAUUGCACAAUGGGCGCAAGCCUGAUGCAGCCAUGCCGCGUGUGUGAAGAAGGCCUUCGGGUUGUAAAGCACUUUCAGUGGGGAGGCGUUACCGGCAGAAGAAGCACCGGCUAACUCCGUGCCAGCAGCCGCGGUAAUAC